rnacentral:rRNA from 1 species
UUUUGUGUUUAAAGAGGCGGGGAAACGCCCGGCCCCAUUCCGAACCCGGAAGCUAAGGCCGCCUUCGCUCAUAAUACUGCAUUUUUCAAGUGUGGAAACGUAGGAAAGCGCAACUA